GAAAUCCGUGACUUUAGAAAUCGUGAGGGUUCAAGUCCCUCUAUCCCC
rnacentral:tRNA from 1 species